AGGAGCCCUUCAGUGGUGCUUCAACCUCGGGGAGCUAAGAGAAGAUUCAGUGUUCAGGUCAACGGUCAUGUGCUCAACUCUUUUUCCUGUUUUCUCUUUGUCUUGGGCUUGAAAUAAAACAGGUCUGUAUGUUU